GCUGGAUGUGGUGGUGCACACCUAUAAUCCCAGUAGCUCGGGAGGCUGAGGCAGGAGGAUAGCAGGUUCGAAGCCAGCCUCAGCAACAGCAAGGUGCUAAGCAACUCAGUGAGACCCUGUCUCUA
rnacentral:sRNA from 1 species